ensembl:lncRNA
UUGGAGAACGUUACAACAUCAAUGAAUGUGGUGCCAUCUCUUACCCUCUGUGAAAUACAGGAUGGUGUUUAUAGCAAGCAGAGAGAGAGGCAAACACCAAAGGAGAGAACACAAGACCAGGGUGGGUGCACUGCUGCAGGAGCUGCGGUGGCCACGCUCUGCUGGGGGCUCAGGGCGGGGCUUUGGGCACUCCAGGCUCCAUCCAAACUGGGCUGAAGGUCCUGUUUUCAUUGCUUCUGGCAAAGGCACUGUUGAUAAAGCUCCUGGAUUUCUUCUAUCUAGUGGAGAUGUGAGGGAGGUGAUUGAAGUGUUUCCAGGUGUUCCUGGCUCCAGAAAAUGCUCAGGAGGGUUUCUGGUGUGCUGGUGGUUUGUGCUCUGCACUCGGAGUCUGUCAGCAGCCCCUGGCCUGUCCUGCAGCACCACAGCCCUGAGACAGCCUGGCCACCUCUCAGGGACAGCAGGACCACUCCCAUCACCCGAGUGUUUGCUGCCAAAGCGCCUGGUGGCUCUAGGAACGCCCUCUGCAGUCACUGCUUCAGUCUCUGGUUUAGUUGGCUUGCACUGCAGAAAAGGUCUGGUUCUCAAAUCCCAGCGACGUGUUUGGAGGCCAGGCUGGGUUUGUCCCAGAAUGAAACAAUCAGGUGGAAUAACAUGGAUGGUCAUCAUGGCAUGGAUACACUGGACAUUGCAGACUCUGCUUUGCAUUGCUGGAAGCCUGAGAACGCUAAUCGUUUUUUGGCAUGGAGAAGCAAGUUCUUGCAUACUUGAAACAUAACUCAUUUACAGUUGUUUUGAUGGAUGCUUGAAGCAGCAUGGAGAACCCCCAGGUCCCUUCGUUUUGUGAGCAGCAGAGCUCAGAUGUAGAUCUGGCUCAGCUCCCUGGCGUGGGAACUGGAGGGGACUGCUCUGAUUAAACACCUCCAUUCUGUUUUGGUCCUGAGGUUGGCUGUGUUAUGCAAUGAAAGUCUCUCAACAGUUUUCCCUGUGAAUUAGUAACACACCUGAAAGGAUUCUGGAAGGAUUGUUUGCAGCAGCAGGAUGGCACGGAGCCACACAACCAUUCUGCAGCGAGGUGCCAAGGGCUCACACUCCCCAAGGGCCUGGGCCCUGGGCGGGGCAGAGGUUGACCCAGAGCUGGCAGGUUAAAUGUACAGGGAUGCCUGAAUGCUGCAAGGCAAGCUUGGGAGGGAGGAAGAGCCCAGGGAGCUGCAGCCUCAUCCUCUUCCUCCUGGAAGGAGCACCUGAGGGUCACCAAGCACUGGGGUCAGUGCAGCAAUGCUGCAGGACAUGGGUGAUGGGCAAGGGCUGAGCUAUAAGAAUGGGCCCCCAAACUCUGUGUGUGUAUUUGUGCACAUGUCUGGGUAUGGAGAGAGGUGGAACAACAGGUUUGUGGCUGCAGUGAAAUCCUUCAUCACUGGCCAAUGCCAGACAGGGUGUAAAAACCUCAGCUGUUGAUGUUGUUUACUCAGAUGUGAGUCUUUGCUCCAUGUUUCAGUUCCUCCCACACUGCUGUCCAAAGAUGAGUUGGAAGAUGAAGAUUAGCAACAUCACACCAAUUCCUGUGGAAAGUGAAUUGUGCCCAGUCCCCAGCCCAUUUCUCAUGGUGCCCAGAAUGUGAAACCCUGAAGCAAAGUGGUCCCCCAUGGGCAGUUUCUCCAAGUGCUGAAAACUGUUGUACUUAUGUUGAAUUAUAUUCAUUCCAUUCAGAAUCAAGUCAUAUGAAGCUGCAGUGAAUUUCAUUUGUUGGCGGGAAAAGGAAUGGGGUUAUGAAAUGU